UGGACGGAUCUACAGGACAGUACUCUGUUCACACAGUGCUGAGAUGUGUCUUAUUUUAUUGUAGGUGAAGGAGGCCAUGCAGAGAAUCCACGACCGAGGAAACAUUGGGAAGCUGAUCCUGGAUGUGGAAAAGUCUCCCACUCCUUUGAUGGCCAGUGACAGCACGGAGACUAGCGAGGCAGGCGAGGAAGAGGAGGAGCACGAGGGCGACAACGACAACAAGGAGCGGAUGCCCUUCAUCCAGUAGGCCUUCCUGCAUCAGUCCAGGCAUGGCCGCUCACCAGGAACAAGAGACUGUCACUGGACCGGGGCUGUCCACGUGACCCCACGCUGUUGUGAAAAGUGUGUGAAUGUGUGUCCGUCGUCCGUCUGACCUGUGCUGUGUUUGAAAGCUGAAAACACUUAUCGCCAGUUGUCCGACUCAAGUGCCAUUCCUAGCGCAGUAUUGAAAUAUUAGUGUUUCUUUUCUUUCAGACGUAUCGUUUGAGGAUUUACGGUCUUGUUUGCAACUUUUUGUAUGUUGUACUGCAGGAGAGUGGGAGGAACGGAGAUGAAGCGAGCGAGAGAAUGUCUGUUAGGUGUUACGUAAAUGUUUUUAGCGAGGAAAGGAAAGCAGAAAUUGGCCAUAUACAGUAUGUGUUUUUCGGUGAUCAGAAAAUAGCUAGGUUUGGACCUUCUGACAGGAUUUUAAGCUGGUAUUUUACAAGCUAUAUAGUCUAUCAAAUAGGGCCAAUAGGGCCAAUAAGGUUGCAAUGGUACACAAAAGUCACAGGAAGGUAAACACCAUGGUUAUGACCUCACAGUGUGAUGUGUGUUAGGUACAAUGAUAAAAUAGGGAAAAAAAACAACAGAAAUACAAAUACUGCCCAGGUCAUUUUCAUUUAAUUUGAACAUGCAGUAGAGCAAGUAAUUUUUUUCCAAUCUAGUGAUGAAUAGCACCCCCUUGAGGUAGUUAUUACAGCCUGUAGUGUUUUACUUAAACAGUAGUUAAGUCUAGAUGUUAGAUGUUCCUCAUCCAACUGAAUAUCAGUUUAAUAAUUGUUUAUAUUCAGUCAAUUCAACUCUCUAGACACGACAGCAAAACGGAGAGAGAUGAGAGAUAAGUAAGAUGGGGGACAAACAAGACUACAGUUAGCAUCUCCUAAUGACUUCCAAACAACAAAUCCAAUGAUCUUCAGUUUAAGGUUUCCAUGUAGCAAACAAACUUAAAAAUGACCCUUUUUAUUCUCCAUGCACAGAAAAUACACAUGCAGUUACACCCUUAGUGGCCACUCAAUGUUCAGUUUUAGAAAUCUUAAUAUACUAUUCUUUAGCCUGCUUUAGUCCAUUAAGAACAGUCAUGUUUUCUAUGUCACUUUGGCAUGUAACAAGCAGGAGUAGGAGCACAGCAAUGUAUUUUGCCUUUCCAUUUUUGUAACUAAUUAAUAUUUAAUGCGAGGCAUUGCUGUAAACUCUUCUGAAACACUGCCAAUUCUAAAAAAAAAAAAACCCUGGGGAAGUCAAGCUUAUCAUUUUGAGCAGGUGUGAGGAAGUAUUGUGUGGUUACGUUGUAGGAGCUGUUUUGAGUAACUGACCUACUGACAAACUACAGUUGCCUGUGUAUUUACUCAGUCAGUGACCAUCCAUACAUACUGUAGUCCUUCUGUUUCCCUGGAUCAGAUACAGCUGUGCUGCUGGAGUUAUUAAACACUGUGUUUAAUCACUCACUGUUCUCCACUCUAUUACACACUCCUAACUAACUGCUUCUACUUAUAGAUGUGAAGACAGAUAUAGAAGUUCAUCUCUUGCUGCACAAUUUGUGUUGUUCAUCUUCUAGUCCUUCAUCAUUGCUCACAGGACGCUGGUUGGUGGUUUCACAAUCACUUCAAUACACUCUAAUUAACUCUGUGUACAUCUAAACAAAUACAUUGAAUUACACAGAAUUCCUCUUUAACUACAUGCAUUACUCAUACUCAUAUUAUGAAAUACCUGUAACACAUGACAGUGCAGUUCAUUGUUUGGGAAUACCAGAUUAUGUCCUGGGUUUGAAGGAUACAUAAAUACUAAGCUAUUUUCCUGCUUAUUAAUUUUAAUAAGUUCAUGUUUAAACUGUGUUAUCACUUCUUAGGAUCUGCUGAUGUUCUUAUGCUGACAUUUAUUAAUAGGAAAAAGACUGAGCUGCUAGAACUAACAUCAGAUUCAGUGAUAUACCACAAACAGUAAUGCUUACUUUUGUCUUUUAGAGAAAGCUGUUUCGGAUACACUGCAAUGUCUGGAAUAUGUGAUGUGAUGUGUGUAUUUUUUUUUUCUUUUAAUCUGGUGUGUCGAUGAUCCUACUGUGUGAGAAAGCUCAUCAACUUGCCUUAAAAAGUAAACGACAAAACACAUGCUUAGUCAAACAUCACUGAGUGCGUUUACAUGCACAUUUAUAAUCUAGAUUAUUGCAGUUAUCUGAUCAUUUAAGUGGUCAUGUAAACAGCAUACUCUGAUUCCUACUGAUUCCAGUUGCAGUUAGACCUGAUCUGAAGUCUGAUUAAGAAUUCUGAUUAAAUAACUUGCCAUCAGCAGCCAGAGCCCUGAGAGAGCACAAUUGGCCUUACUCUUUCUGGGUGGGUAGAUGGCGCUCUUUCCCUCAUCACUCCUAGGGUGAUGUAGAUCAGCACAAUGCGUCUGUGAGCUGAUGUAUCAGAACUGAGUGGCUGAACUUUUCUCCGAGCACGCUGUGAUGCUACUCGGCAAUGCUGCAUAAUGAGUGGGUUGGGGAAUUAGAUGUGUAAAUUGGGGAGAAAAUGGAAAAAAAUGUGAAAUAAAAUUAAGAAUUCUGAUAAAGAGAGCUGGAUUUUUGCUUAGUAAUGGUAUUUCAGUGCAUGCAUACUCUUAACUGGAGUAUUCUCUGGUGAAAACAGGCCCUGGCAGUAUAACACAACACUUUUGGAGUGACACGGUAACUGUUGGAUUUCUAUCAUCUUCAUCUUAUUAUUCAGCUGAUAUAUGGACAUAUUGAGGCUCGAUGGGUUAAAAGGCUGAAUUUGUUAUAUUUGGGUCUUAUUGAAUGAAUGAAUUACCCAUGUUUAAGUAAUCGCAUUGAUCAGAUGAUCAGACUACUGACUAACUCUGAUAUUCUGCAGUAAUCAGAUUAUAAAGUGCAUGUAAAUAUAUCAGACACUACAGGUAGAGAAGUGUGUAAUGUUUAGGUGUAUUAUGUGCUGUUUAGAGCUUUUGCUGUGUUGUGUGUAGAAAUCCAGUUCUGUUACAUGAAUAAAUAGACCUGCAGAGCA